rnacentral:rRNA from 1 species
AUCUGGUUGAUCCUGCCAGUAUUAUAUGCUGAUGUUAAAGAUUAAGCCAUGCAUGUGUAAGUAUAAAGUCCUUGAAUGAUGAAACUGCGAACGGCUCAUUAAAACAGYUAUAGUUAUUUUGAUUAGUAAAGUACAAGGAUAACUUCGUGAAUGAUGAAGAUAAUACUUGAGACGCUCCGGGAUGAGUUAUCAAACCGGCACAUGGUUGCGAGACCGUGUAGAAAUGAUAUUUAAGGAGAAAAUAAAUACCAUGACAAUUGUAGAAUAGGAAACUAUUUCACAAGUAAUCAAAAUAAAUAUCUGAUCUAUCAUACUUGUUGGUAGUAUAGAGGACUACCAAGGUUAUAACGGAUAACGAGGAAUUAGGGUUUGACAUCGGAGAGGGAGCUUUAAAGAUGGCUACCACUUCUAAGGAAGGCAGCAGGCGCGUAAAUUACCCACUUUCGACAAGGAGAGGUAGUGACGACAAAUAACUCUUUCACGGCGCAAGCCGUGUUGAAGGAAUGACUAGGAGGUAAAGUCUCCUAGGAAAUCAAUUGGAGGGCAAGUCUGGUGCCAGCAGCCGCGGUAAUUCCAGCUCCAAUAGUGUAUAUUAAAGUUGUUGUGAUUAAAACGCUCGUAGUUGAAUUUAAUACUAUCCUUGUUGUACUUUCUAAUAAUACCAUUAUUGGAAAUGCAACGCUGCGGGAUAGCUAAGGUAAUUCAAUUCGCAAGAAUUGGGUUAUUACUUUGAAAAAAAUAGAGUGUUYAAAGCAAAUCUUAUGGUAAUGAAUAAUGAAGCAUGGGACAAUAUUGAGGAGAUAUCUUCGGAUAUUUCGAGAUAAGGAUUAAAAGGAGUAAAUGGGGUGAUCCAGAAAAUAACGGGAGAGGUGAAAAUCCAUGAUCGUUAUAAGAUGAUCGAGAGCGAAAGCAUUUCACUCAUUUAUCUUCAUUAAUCAAGAACGAAAGUUAGGGGAUCGAAGACGAUCAGAUACCGUCGUAGUCCUAACUAUWAACGAUGUCAACCAAGGAUUGGAUAAGCUAAUCGAAAUGAAUAAUUGAGUAGCUUUCAGCUACAAAAUUAGACAUUUCAUCACUUCCUUGUUCAGAACKUAAAGAGAAAUCUCGAGUUAAUGGACUUCAGGGGGAGUAUGGUCACAAGGCUGAAACUUAAAGGAAUUGACGGAAGGGCACACCAGGAGUGGAGCCUGCGGCUUAAUUUGACUCAACACGGGAAAACUUACCAAGACCGAACAUUAGAAGGAUUGACAGGUUAAGGGUCCUUUCAAGAUUUGAUGGGUAGUGGUGCAUGGCCGUUCUUAGUUGGUGGAGUAAUUUGUCAGGUUAAUUCCGGUAACGAACGAGACUGAAACCUAUUAAUUAGUUAACUAUCUAUAAGGUAGUUAUGUAGCAAUACAGAUGUUUUCAUCACUACUUAAAGGGACACAUUUCAAUUGUUUCCAUUUAAUAGUGGAGGUUUUUCCAAAACUUUUARAAGGAAAAAAAGAAAAAGGAAGCGUUCAGCAAUAACAGGUCUGUGAUGCCCUUAGACAUCUUGGGCUGCACGCGCGCUACAAUGGAGUUACUAGAGAGUAAUUUUGUAACGCUAGCAUUUAAGUAAGCUUGCUUACUUAGGUGUGAUGUUUUACUAUACCGAGACUUAAAAGUUUAGGAAAUCUCAAAAGAACGUACUUGACAGGGAUAAAUGAUUGGAAUUAUUUGUUUUGAACGAGGAAUUUCUUGUAAUAUCACGUCAUUAACGUGAGAUGAAUACGUCCCUGCCCUUUGUACACACCGCCCGUCGCUCCUACCGAUUGAAUAAAAAGGUGAAAUUCUAGGAUUUGACCGCUCUGCGGUUGGAAAAUGGAUUUAAAUCUUCUUGUUUAGAGGAAGGAGAAGUCGUAACAAGGUUUCCGUAGGUGAACCUGCGGGGGGAU